CGAGAUACACUCCAUCAACCGUCCAAGAAACUCCAAGUGCCCCACAAAUCACACUCAAUGUAGGCAUAAACAAAAGGUACGAUAGGAGACAUGCUAAUUGACGUUGCAUCCAAAUCGGUCAACCACCACCAACAACAACUACAACAACAUCAACUACCUACGGGUGUGAUUAUUUUCCUCUGUCACGCUCAUCCCAGGAUGUGUGUGUGUGUGUAUGCGUGUGUCGUUGAAAUAUGAGCCGAUUAAGAGCUGUGAUUAAAACGCCAAACUGUCGAUCGACCGCGCGUUCUUUGGCUCAUAAAAAAGAAGCGGGUUUCAUAUCUUGCCGUUGAUCGCUAAUAUGGCAUAUAUAUCGAGUUCUUCGACACACUAUGACUGCCACCUCCGGGCACACUUGUUCCCUUCUCACGUUUGAGUCUGAAGCUUUGGCAUCCACGAGAAAAGGAAGGAACCCUUCAUGAUGCCAGAUUUGGUGAGGACUUGCUUCCACCUUCCAGGCAUAAAUAUUCAGAGGCAAGUAAUCCGAAAAUAGAAGAGCCAGAACUAUGCCAAAUCAGACGGUUUUAUGCAAAAAAAAAAUACGCAAGAGCCAAAGACAACGAACAUGGCUCCUGGCAUGUUGAAAAUUCCGACUUCCAUUUCAAAGCAUGAACCUGGACUGGCUACUAGUUUGACUUGUCUGCACUUUUAUGCUCUGAGACCAAAAAAGCAUCCAGAGGACUCACAAACGCCCGGGGAGACUGCCAAUACACAUAAGACGUACAAUGUUUUUUAUGACAGGAUGACUUGUGCAAUACAACACCUCAAUAUUUUGUUUCAAAAUGA